rnacentral:rRNA from 1 species
CAUUUUAGUUUGCUUGCAACUAAAGAUGGCGACCGGCGCACGGGUGAGUAACACGUAUCCAACCUGCCGAUAACUCGGGGAUAGCCUUUCGAAAGAAAGAUUAAUAUCCGAUGGUAUAUUAAAACCGCAUGGUUUUACUAUUAAAGAAUUUCGGUUAUCGAUGGGGAUGCGUUCCAUUAGUUUGUUGGCGGGGUAACGGCCCACCAAGACUACGAUGGAUAGGGGUUCUGAGAGGAAGGUCCCCCACAUUGGAACUGAGACACGGUCCAAACUCCUACGGGAGGCAGCAGUGAGGAAUAUUGGUCAAUGGACGAGAGUCUGAACCAGCCAAGUAGCGUGAAGGAUGACUGCCCUAUGGGUUGUAAACUUCUUUUAUAUGGGAAUAAAGUAUUCCACGUGUGGGAUUUUGUAUGUACCAUAUGAAUAAGGAUCGGCUAACUCCGUGCCAGCAGCCGCGGUAAUACGGAGGAUCCGAGCGUUAUCCGGAUUUAUUGGGUUUAAAGGGAGCGUAGGUGGAUUGUUAAGUCAGUUGUGAAAGUUUGCGGCUCAACCGUAAAAUU